AUACUUACCUGGCGCGGGGAUACCGUGAUCAGAAGGGGUGCCUCCAGGACGAGGCCUGUACAUUGCACUCCGUAUGGGCUGACUCCUGCGACUACCCCAAAUCGGGGGUGGCUCGAGCGCAUAAUUUUUGGUAGUGGGGACAAGCGUUCGCGCUGUCCCUU
rnacentral:snRNA from 1 species